rnacentral:misc_RNA from 1 species
AGCAGCCGCGGUAAUUCCAGCUCCAAUAGCGUAUAUUAAAGUUGUUGCAGUUAAAAGCUCGUAGUUGAAUUUCGGGAUCAGUAUGUUGGUCGUGCUUCGGUACGUACUGUCAUUACUGGUUUCUACCUUCUGAAGAACCUUGAUGUCAUUAAUUUGGUGUCUUGGGGAAUCAGGACUGUUACUUUGAAAAAAUUAGAGUGUUUAAAGCAAGCAUACGCUUGAAUACAUUAGCAUGGAAUAAUGAAAUAGGACGUUUGAUUCUAUUUUGUUGGUUUCUAGGAUCGACGUAAUGAUUAAUAGGGAUAGUUGGGGGCAUUAGUAUUCAAUUGUCAGAGGUGAAAUUCUUGGAUUUAUUGAAGACUAACUACUGCGAAAGCAUUUGCCAAGGAUGUUUUCAUUAAUCAAGAACGAAAGUUAGGGGAUCGAAGACGAUCAGAUACCGUCGUAGUCUUAACCAUAAACUAUGCCGACUAGGGAUCGGAUGAUGUAUUUAAUGACUCAUUCGGCGCCUUAAC